rnacentral:rRNA from 1 species
GAUUAACGCUGGCGGCGUGCCUGACACAUGCAAGUCGAACGAGUUCUAGUUGCCCGCAAGGGUGACUAGCGCUAGUGGCGGACGGGUGAGUAACACGUGGGCAACCUGCCUGAGAGCGCGGAAUAACCCUGCGAAAGCAGAGCUAAUACCGCAUGUGGUUGUUGGUUGGCAUCUAUCAACAACUAAAGUCGCAAGACGCUCUCAGAUGGGCCCGCGGCCUAUUAGGCUAGUUGGUGAGGUAACGGCCCACCAAGGCUGUGAUGGGUAGCUGGUCUGAGAGGACGGACAGCCACACUGGGACUGAGACACGGCCCAGGACUCCUACGGGAGGCAGCAGUGAGGAAUUUUCCGCAAUGGGCGAAAGCCUGACGGAGCAACGCCGCGUGAGGGAUGAAGUCUC